AGAGUUGUAUCUCAAUGGUAGAACAUCUGCUUUACAUGCAGAAGGUCCAGGGUUCAAUCCAUAGCUGUCAACUUUU